GGGGCGGUAGCUCAAUGGGAGAGCGUCUGGUUUGCAACCAGAAGGUUGGGGGUUCGAAUCCCCUCCGCUCCACCA
rnacentral:tRNA from 1 species